UCUGGGUUUGCCUGUGUGUCUGUCCUGGAGUGUGUUUCAGGUGUCCUGGAACGCACCCUGUCUGGUUGCCGGGCGAAUUAGCUCAUUGGGAGAUUGRUUUCACCCGCACCUGUUUCCCGUCAGUAAUCUGCACACCUGUCCUGAUCAUCAUCUCUACCCUUCAWAAGCUCUGACCUGACUUCCAUUCCCUGCCGGAUCGUUAGCCAUGAAUAUUACUCACCUGGAUCAUUCACUCCAUUCCCGCCUGGUUGACAGAGGAUUCUGCUACUACAUUGGAUUCACCUAUUUCCUUUCAUCUACUCACCACCGCUGCCCGCUACGCCAUCUGGAUAUAUCUACCUUUUCACAUUUAAUUGUAAAUAAAUACUCACCUUCUUCCUA